AAAGGUUUGUCCUUGGUUUGGACGAACGGUGGCGGCCGGCCUAAAACAAGCAAAUCGAGCGGAAUAGACAGAGCUUGGUCUGUGCAAGUCAGCGGCGGACGGGUGAGUAACACGUGGGUAACCUGCCUGUAAGACUGGGAUAACUCCGGGAAACCGGGGCUAAUACCGGAUAAUAUCAAGAGCUGCAUGGCUCUUGAUUGAAAGGCGGGCUUCGGCUGUCACUUACAGAUGGACCCGCGGCGCAUUAGCUAGUUGGUGAGGUAACGGCUCACCAAGGCGACGAUGCGUAGCCGACCUGAGAGGGUGAUCGGCCACACUGGGACUGAGACACGGCCCAGACUCCUACGGGAGGCAGCAGUAGGGAAUCUUCCGCAAUGGACGAAAGUCUGACGGAACAACGCCGCGUGAGUGAAGAAGGUUUUCGGAUCGUAAAACUCUGUUGUCAGGGAAGAACAAGUACGGGAGUAACUGCCCGUACCUUGACGGUACCUGGCCAGAAAGCCACGGCUAUACUACGUGCCACGAGCGCGGUAAUACGUAGCGCGAUCUCU
rnacentral:rRNA from 1 species